AUUGAACGCUGGCGGCAUGCCUUACACAUGCAAGUCGAACGGUAACAGGUCUUCGGAUGCUGACGAGUGGCGAACGGGUGAGUAAUACAUCGGAACGUGCCUAGUAGUGGGGGAUAACUACUCGAAAGAGUGGCUAAUACCGCAUGAGAUCUACGGAUGAAAGCAGGGGAUCGCAAGACCUUGUGCUACUAGAGCGGCCGAUGGCAGAUUAGCUAGUUGGUGGGGUAAAGGCCUACCAAGGCAACGAUCUGUAGUUGGUCUGAGAGGACGACCAGCCACACUGGGACUGAGACACGGCCCAGACUCCUACGGGAGGCAGCAGUGGGGAAUUUUGGACAAUGGGCGCAAGCCUGAUCCAGCAAUGCCGCGUGCAGGAAGAAGGCCUUCGGGUUGUAAACUGCUUUUGUCAGGGAAGAAAUCUUCUGGGUUAAUACCUCGGGAGGAUGACGGUACCUGAAGAAUAAGCACCGGCUAACUACGUGCCAGCCGCCGCAGUAA
rnacentral:rRNA from 1 species